rnacentral:rRNA from 1 species
UAGUCUCAGUUCGGAUUGGAGUCUGCAACCCGACUCCAUGAAGCUGGAUUCGCUAGUAAUCGCGCAUCAGCCACGGCGCGGUGAAUACGUUCCCGGGCCUUGUACACACCGCCCGUCAAGCCAUGGGAGCCGGGGGUACCUGAAGUGCGUGACCGCAAGGAGCGCCCUAAGGUAAAACCGGUGACUGGGGCUAAGUCGUAACAAGGUAAC